rnacentral:lncRNA from 1 species
UUUCAAGAUAGCAACACAAAGCUCAAACCAUUUUCAUGCCUAUAGGAACAUCUACAGCUUUGCUCAAGUAACUGGCAGAUUAAAUGUCAGAGUAAAUAUUCAAGACAAACUAUAUUAGAUGGCUUAGAAGUGUUGGUGAAUAUCUGAUUGCAACAGGAACUGCGGCAUCUAAGAAAGGUCACCGAAUGUGUCAAGAUAUAUUUGGAGGUGUUUUCUUCCCUUGGAAGCAGGGUUCAUUUAAGUUGGAUGCAGAUCUUGUUCAUCAAGUCCCUUCUAAGUCAACACUGACUAAUUAGAGAAUGGGAGCAAUCGUUAGUGGUACUGACUCCUUGUGACCGCUGCUGAGACGUCAGUCUACCAUUCUAUCCUGUAAGAGGGCGUGGUUCUCCCUGGGAGCCCAUGGCUCAGUGCGGAAUCACAUUGGUCUCCUCCGAAGGAGCUUGAUCCUGCGAGGCGGAACGAGUGUGUUAAUCACGGAUGUCCAGACCUGACACAUCCUGCCGUGUGGGAGGAACUCAGCAGGCAUUUGUUGGACAAAGGGAACCUUGUUUACUGGGGACAGAUGAGUGGACCAAGGCCUAGUACCUCGCUCAGGGUCACACACCCAGCAAGGAGCUGGGCCUGGACCUUGUGCUUAACUCUUGGUCACGCAGGGCAUGGUGGUGUCCAGGCUGCCUCUGCUGCUCUGGGCAGGGAAGCUGUGGUUUCGCACUGCUGAGCGAGAAUCCUGGGGUGGGGCCCUGGGGGGCCAGAGUGGACACAGCCUCGGAUGAGUGAAGGACAACGGUGGCACCUCCAUCAUCAUGCUGUCGUCGUGGAGAGGAUGAAGCAAGGCUGUGUGUGUCUCACCCACACCUGGCACCGAAUGGCCUCAGCUCCGUCACUUCAUGGACGCCUUAGCCUCCCUUUCCUCUCUCCACCCCAUUCCACGGUCACACUCUGCCAGCUCCCAAGGAAGUCCAGCAGGAAGCCCCUCCUUCUUCUCCACAAUCCCCACAUUCAAGGAUUAGGGGAUGGGCUUUGCUUAUGGUUUUUUGAAGUUUCUGUGGAACCCAG